CGAGCGGAUGNNGGGAGCUUGCUCCUGGAUUUAGCGGCGGACGGGUGAGUAAUGCCUAGGAAUCUGCCUGGUAGUGGGGGAUAACGUUCCGAAAGGAACGCUAAUACCGCAUACGUCCUACGGGAGAAAGCGGGGGAUCUUCGGACCUCGCGCUAUCAGAUGAGCCUAGGUCGGAUUAGCUAGUUGGUGAGGUAAUGGCUCACCAAGGCGACGAUCCGUAACUGGUCUGAGAGGAUGAUCAGUCACACUGGAACUGAGACACGGUCCAGACUCCUACGGGAGGCAGCAGUGGGGAAUAUUGGACAAUGGGCGAAAGCCUGAUCCAGCCAUGCCGCGUGUGUGAAGAAGGUCUUCGGAUUGUAAAGCACUUUAAGUUGGGAGGAAGGGUAUUCACCUAAUACGUGAGUAUUUUGACGUUACCGACAGAAUAAGCACCGGCUAACUUCGUGCCAGCAGCCGCGGUAAUACGAAGGGUGCAAGCGUUAAUCGGAAUUACUGGGCGUAAAGCGCGCGUAGGUGGUUCGUUAAGUUGGAUGUGAAAGCCCCGGGCUCAACCUGGGAACUGCAUCCAAAACUGGCGAGCUAGAGUACGGU
rnacentral:rRNA from 1 species